GACGAACGCUGGCGGCGUGCCUAAUACAUGCAAGUCGAACGGAAAGGCCCUGCUCUUGUGGGGUGCUCGAGUGGCGAACGGGUGAGUAACACGUGUGUAUCCUGCCCUUGUCUUUGGGAUAACUUCAGGAAACUGGGGCUCAUACCGGAUAGGAGCUCCUGCUGCAUGGUGGGGGUUGGAAAGUUUCGGCGGUUGUGGAUCGACUCGCUGCUUAUCAGCUUGAUGGUGGGGUAGUGGCUUACCAAGGCUUUGACGGGUAGCCGGCCUGAGAGGGUGACCGGCGACAAUGGGACUGAGAGACGGCCCAGAAUCGUACGGGAGGCAGCAGUGGGGAGUAUUGCACAAUGGGCGGAAGCCUGAUGCAGCAACGCCGCGUGCGGGAUGACGGCCUACGAGUUGUAAACCGCUGUCGCCUGUGACGAAGCGUGAGUGACGGUAAUGGGUAAAGAAGCACCGGCUAACUACGUG
rnacentral:rRNA from 1 species